rfam:Mus musculus chromosome 13, GRC primary reference assembly.
GUCAGGAUGGCCGAGUGGUCUAAGGCGCCAGACUCAAGCUUAGCUUCCCUGUCUGGGGAUUCUGGUCUCCGUAUGGAGGCGUGGGUUCGAAUCCCACUUCUGACA